UACGGAGGGUGCAAGCGUUAUCCGGAUUCACUGGGUUUAAAGGGUGCGUGGGUGGGUAUGUAAGUCCGUGGUGAAAUCUCUGAGCUUAACUCAGAAACUGCCGUGGAUACUAUUUAUCUUGAAUAUUGUGGAGGUGAGCGGAAUAUGUCAUGUAGCGGUGAAAUGCUUAGAUAUGACAUAGAACACCAAUUGCGAAGGCAGCUCACUACACAAUUAUUGACGCUGAGGCACGAAAGCGUGGGGAUCGAACAGG
rnacentral:rRNA from 1 species